UACGUAGGGGGCAAGCGUUGUCCGGAAUCAUUGGGCGUAAAGAGCGUGUAGGCGGCCCGGUAAGUCCGCUGUGAAAGUCCAGGGCUCAACCCUGGGAUGCCGGUGGAUACUGUCGGGCUCGAGUCCGGAAGAGGAGUGUGGAAUUCCUGGUGUAGCGGUGAAAUGCGCAGAUAUCAGGAAGAACACCGAUGGCGAAGGCAGUUCUCUGGGACGGUACUGACGCUGAGACGCGAAAGCGUGGGGAGCGAACAGG
rnacentral:rRNA from 1 species